rnacentral:ncRNA from 1 species
CACAACGUGAUGACAGGAACCAGUAGCAAGUGUUUCUUUCCAAAGAGAGCCGGUGGUCGGUGCGAACCGGUGUGAGAGCCUUGUGAAUCCAUCCUUGAAUGAUGUAUUGAAAUCUUCGGAGACUAGAUAUGUCCGGAACAGGCCGUUAUCCUGCUAAGAGGAAGGCGCAGAAUUCUGCCUUCAAUUAGGGUGGCAACGCGGAUACAACUUCCGUCCCUUUA